GAGCAGCAGAAGUGGAAGGAGCUGCUGGUCGUCUGGAGGAGGCAGGUAGGAGCUUGCCUCCCCCCACUGCCCCGUUCUCAGUCUGGACGUUGAAUGACAUUAUUUGUGCAAGGGUUCCUUGAGUUCAGUCAUCAUUUUGCCUGGAGCAGCACAGCCAGUGCCCAAGUGAAAUUGUAAAGCACCCACAGACUACAUAGUGGAAUUGGGAUCAGUCACAUAGCAGUCCUUGUGCCCACAAUCUAGAUGUGUGAGAUGCUUCAGACUUCACCCAUUUACCCCACUAUCAAGAAUGGAAUCAUGUGGGCUGGGCCUUCCUGUGCUCAUUGCAGGAGUGUUCUGG